GCCCUCAUAGCUCAGCGGUAGAGCGCGACACUAGUAAUGUCGAGGCCAUGAGUUCGACUCUCAUUGAGGGCA
rnacentral:tRNA from 1 species